AUAUCGUGAAUAUUUGAUUACAACAGUACACAGGUUAUCGCAUGAACAGCUAUCAAUAUUCAAAUGAGACAGACUGAGUCGAGACAGUUUCACAGAUUAAAUCCUACAUAUGUUGUUACCCUACACCAAGUUUUCACAGGAAGAGAGAGAGAGAGAGAGAGAAGAGAUGAUCAGCACUGCAAGAGUUAAAACAAAGAUUGACAGAGUGAGAAGUCCAAAGAAUACCAGGAUCGUACCAGCACUCACAGUCUGUUUCCAUGCACUCAGGUCUUAGGCUAUUUCAUUGUGUGAAAAAAAAUGUAAACAGAAUAAAGGAGCAGGAGGAUAUGAAUAAUAUUCUAAUCACAGUCAUUGCAAUUAGAAAGAAGCAAGCAAACUUGAAUACGGACCAACGUCAGCCUUCUCGGUUUCGCUCCAGGUCCCUACUACAAUCUUCAGGCAACACAAAGGACAACUCCUUAUUUACCAACAAUUAGCACUCUUCCUAAUCUCUUGAUGCCGAUGUAAACACUGUUCUCCCUUGUAUCCCAGCGUCUCCUGUCCUUGUCCAAUAGUGCGCUCCUAGGCACCACUUGCACUGGUGCAAGACAGAGUUUUGUAUUUCAACUUUCUAUAUUAAAUUAUAAUAAAUGUUCUCGAACAUAAACUGCUUUAAAAUUAUUUACUUCAACU
rnacentral:sRNA from 1 species